rnacentral:rRNA from 1 species
GUCCACGCCGUAAACGAUGGAUGCUAGUUGUCGGGCAGUAUACUGUUCGGUGACGCAGCUAACGCAUUAAGCAUCCCGCCUGGGGAGUACGGCCGCAAGGUUAAAACUCAAAGAAAUUGACGGGGGCCCGCACAAGCGGUGGAGCAUGUGGUUUAAUUCGAAGCAACGCGCAGAACCUUACCUACCCUUGACAUGUCCAGUAUGGUUUCCAGAGAUGGAUCCCUUCAGUUCGGCUGGCUGGAA